CUAGCAAUUAGUUACCUUCUUCUUGUGCUCCGUCCCCAUCCAACAUUGCUUAGGAAGAGUCUUUGAGAUCUAAUUAAGAUCCGUUUCCUUGCCCUGUCACAGUGCCCUAUAAGGACCACCAGGCAACAAUGAAGGUUCUUUUACUAAAAGAUGCUAAAGAAGAUGAUGGUGGCCAGGAUCCAUAUGUCAGGGAAUUAGGAUUAUAUGGACUUGAAGCCACUUUGAUUCCUGUUUUAUCAUUUGAGUUUUUGUCUCUUCCCAGUUUCUCUGAGAAGCUGUCUCAUCCUGAAGGUUACGGGGGACUCAUUUUUACCAGCCCCAGAGCAGUGGAAGCAGUGGAGUUGUGUUUGGAGAAAGACAAUAAAACAGAAGGUGAGGGCAGGUCUGCUGUGAAUCCCAUUAGACUUGUAUCUACUCUUAUUUUUCCUGCUGGGAGACUAGAUUCUAGAAACAGCUACAUUUCUAACAGGAGUAGGUGCUUAGUGAUGUCAGCUCACAGACACUUUUUUGGGAACCAGGUGACGGGGCUGUCUCCUAAAGUCCCAGACAUAUGUCACCGAGGGAGAAUCUUAAAUGUUCACCUGCUGGACAUUCAUAUCUCCCCUUAGAAUAUAUCAGGCACCUCUUCCUCUGAAAAUAGGAUAAAUACCAGUUUCAUCAAAGGGAUGAUGAGGAAAUACAACAAUAUAUGAAAAUGAUCAGUGCCAUGGCUGGUGUUUAGAGAUGCAGUCAUCUCUUUGAGCAUUCUUCCCACCUCCUUCCUUCUCCAUCAAAACAGUAUGAAAAUGGCACUGCCCAUUGACAGGACCCCGGGUUUCAGUCUGAACAAGCCCCUUCUUAGUAAAUGCGAUUGAACAGCUUACUAGCUAACAUUUAUGGAGUGUCUGUGUAUGUCGGACUCUGUGUUAAAUCCUUCCCACUUAUUACCUCAUUUAACCCUGUAUAAAAAUCCAGAGGCCCACAGUACUAUGAUCUCAUACUACCAUUGAGAAAACGGAGGCUGGGAAGAGUAAGCACUUGUCCAAGGCCACAGAACCAGUGAGUGCAGAGCCAGGCUUCAAACCCCGGCCGGCUGCCUGCAGAGUUAUACUCACACGCAGAGGCAGCAGGGAGAGGGGCUGCCAGAGAGCUGUGGGGAGAGUUAGUCUUGGGCUCGUGCAGCCACUCUGACCUGGGCAAGUUCCUUGACCUCUCUGCACAUCAGUUUCCUUGUCUUUAAAGUGGACAUAAUAACAUCUGCGAUUAUUACUUCUACUGUUAGCUAAGUGGAACUUAUUGAGUGCCCACUCUGUGCCAGACACUGUCCUGAAUGCUUUAUCCUGUGAGGUAGGUACGAUUAGUACUUCCGCUUGGCAGAUGAGGGCCCGAAGAAGAGAGGGUAUGGAACUUUCCAAGACCACACAGUCUGUAAGUCGCAGGUUCACGAUUCAAGCAUCUGGGACGUUACCUGGAGCAGAGUGGGCACCGAGUAAGUGACGGUGGCGAAUGGUUAUUUUUCUCUCUCUUCAUAUUUAACGAGGCUUUACAUCAUAGCCUAAACAUAUCACCUUCUUGGUGAUGUCAUGUACACAUUCACCGCCUGUUGAAGAGAAAGUCUGAUAUUUUUCUUAGGAAUGAGGACCCUAAGAAACUCGGAGCUGGAAGUGCUGUUGAUUCCAAAGCAGGGAAGCAUGUGUACUUCUCCCCAGUGGUGCUUCGGGGUGCUUUGUCUCACCAUUGUACUUUUCCUUUUGUAUGCGCUUUGAGGAUGAAGGUAAUAAAAAAGAGGAAAACUCCAGAAUGGUCAUUGAAACUUUUUACAGUGCUUUUUAGUUUAAAAAUCAUUUUCCAUGUGUUUUCUGAUUGUGAUUCUCAUGACAACCAUAUGGGAUAGGCAGUAGGAGCAUAGUGGAUCCCAGUUACCUUGAUGCAGAAACAGAUGAGACAAGCUGGGCUGCCUGACUUGCAGGGCACACACGAGGAGCCACGGGGCAGAGCUGGCUCCACAGCCUUGUGACCCACCCGGCACCCACUCCAGUCAUUCUGCCUCGAGGCUGGGAAAAGGGUUUAUUCACAGGCUAUGGGUAAUUGUUUAAUAAAUA